GAGCAUGAUGAUGGAAAAAAAUUCUUCACUUUGACCUGACAUGUUGUUUGAAGAAGUUUUUGUAGGUCUGACC